ACACCAGCCCAGAAAUGUCACCGGUAAGCGCAACAGCAGACACUAGAAGAUAUGUCAUCCCUAUGCAUUAUCCAGAGAAAGUACUGGAAGGAAGCCAGCCACUGCCCAUGAGUCGGAGCAGAGGACACCCCCCUGACAUCAAGGUCUAGUGGCAACAGAAAAAUGCAGACAGAUCGAUAUGGAUGGUCAUGCUCAUGUUCCUCACAGGAAACGGUGCUUCUGAACGUUCCUCACAGGAAACAGAGCUUCUAAACAUUCCAGCUUCCGAUAAGUCCAUGUCUGUUGUGUAUUGGCUGCAAAGAAAACCUCAAGGAACUAAAAAGUAGAAUAAUUUAAAUGAUCCUAUUAUCCAAAUAUUGUAAAAUAAAUAACGGAAAGUGCUACCUCUUCCCCCUAAAACUUAGAAACCAACACACUCCCAGGUAGCCCUUGGGUAAAACAGGAUAUUAAAUCUGAAUGUGCGCUCUCUGAAAAGCCAAGAAACCAUAAAUAUUGAUCCAGCGCUGAGGACUCAGCUAAUGCAGCGUCCAGAGCCCCCAGCACAGCUCUUGUUUUUUAGAGGAAAAAAUAAACGGGAGGGAAUUUGUGCCAUCCUAAGAAACUAAAAUGAGAACAAGAAAGUGUAUUUUAAAAAGUAGGGAGAAUUAUGAAGAUAAAGCCAGAAAUUAAUGAAGUAGAAAACAAAUAAGUAAAGAGGAGAAAUGAUUGUUUUUCUGAAAUAAAUAAAAUAAAAUCCCCUUGCCCAGCCCAAAAGCUGCAUCAAGAAAUGACUGCCUAGGCUGGGCACGGUGGCUCAUGCCUAUAAUGCCCACACUUUGGGAAGCAGAGGUGGGCGGAUCGCUUGAGGCCUGGAGUUUGAGACCAUCCUGGCCAAUACGGUGAAACCCUGUAUUUGCAAAAAUACACAAACUAGCCGGGCGUGGUGGUGUGCGCCUAUAGUCCCAGCUACUUGGGAGGCUAAGGCAGAACAAUUGCUUGAAUCUGGGAGGCAGAGGCUGCAGUGAACUGACAUAGUGACCCUGCACUCCAGCCUGGGUGAUAAAAUGAGACUCUGUUUCCAAAAGAAAAAAAAAACCACAAAAAUGAAAACUAAAUAAAUAAGUGACUAUAUUUAGAAUUUACGUACAUUGAAAUAGAAAAACCCACACACGAUUAGGAAGAAGGAGACCCCAGUAUGGAAGAGGCUGGAGAAAUGAGACAGCCCACUCGGCCGGGGCAGCUGCUUGGAAACCUGCAGCAGCAGACCAUGUUGUCCUGGGUGUAAAGUCCAGAAUGACUCUGGACAAGCGGCACCACGCGGAGAUGAGCACAAGGAGCUGGAGAGGGCGACAGCUGAGCCAGGAAAGGAGGCUCCAGGAGCAGAUGUCCGCAGCUGACGAUGACCUCACCUUCCAUGGAAAGAAAGUCAUCCCAGGGUUACUUUAACCUUCCCAAGACAUGAAAGGAUGGAAAACUCUGUAAUUCAUCUCAUGAAACCAGGAUACUUUAAUUCAAAAACCUGAUGUGGAACAAAAAGAGAAAACCAUAGACAAAUAUCACUUUCAGAAGAUGCAAAAAAAUCUAACAGAAUAGCAAAUAGGACUCAACGCCGCGUCAGCAGAUUCUACACAGGUGAAGAGCAAAUAGGACCCAACACAGCUUCCAUGGCAUCAUGUAUGGCCAAGCAGAUGAAGGCCAGGCUUACGAGGGCAGCCCAGCAAUCAGAGACAUCAUUUCAUUAGCCAAUUAGCACAGAAAAUUCAGAGAACCCCAUCGACAGGUACUGAAAAGAAAAUUGACCAAAUUCAGCAAUCGUUAUGAAUAAAAGCUCUAUUUCUAGUAAAAUAGAAAAAA
ensembl:lncRNA